rnacentral:hammerhead_ribozyme from 1 species
ACCCAGCUGACGAGUCUCAAAUAGGACGAAACGCGCGUCGUGGAU